rnacentral:rRNA from 1 species
CACGUAGGGUGCGAGCGUUGUCCGGAAUUAUUGGGCGUAAAGAGCUCGUAGGCGGUGUGUCGCGUCGGCCGUGAAAACCUGCAGCUUAACUGUGGGCGUGCGGUCGAUACGGGCAUCACUGGAGUUCGGCAGGGGAGACUGGAAUUCCUGGUGUAGCGGUGAAAUGCGUAGAUAUCAAGAGGAACACCUGCGGCGAAGGCGGGUUGCUGGGCCGACACUGACGCUGAGGCGCGAAAGCCAGGGGAGCGAACGGG